GACGUAGGGCGCGAGCGUUGUCCGGAUUUAUUGGGCGUAAAGAGCUCGUAGGCGGCUUGUCGCGUCGACUGUGAAAUCCCGCAGCUCAACUGCGGAACUGCAUCGGAUACUCUCCGGCUAGAGGAAUGGAGGGGAGACUGGAAUUCUCGGUGUAGCAGUGAAAUGCGUAGAUAUCGAGAGGAACACCAGUGGCGAAGGCGGUUCUCUGGGCCUGUACUGACGCUGAGGAGCGAAAGCGUGGGGAGCAAACAGG
rnacentral:rRNA from 1 species